GUGCUUGCUUUGGCAGCACAUAUACUUAAAAUUGGACUGAUACAGAGAAGAUUAGCAUGACCCCUGCACAAGGAUGACACGCAAAUUCAUGAAGCAUUCCAUAUUUUU
rnacentral:snRNA from 1 species